rnacentral:rRNA from 1 species
GAUGAACGCUAGCGGCAGGCUUAAUACAUGCAAGUCGAACGGGAUUCAGGGUAGCAAUACUUUGAUGAGAGUGGCGCACGGGUGCGUAACGCGUAUGCAACCUACCUUUAACAGGGGAAUAGCCCCAAGAAAUCGGGAUUAAUACUCCGUAACAUUGCGGGAUGGCAUCAUUCUGCAAUUAAAGAUUUAUCGGUUAAAGAUGGGCAUGCGUGACAUUAGCUUGUUGGUGAGGUAACGGCUCACCAAGGCAACGAUGUCUAGGGGUCCUGAGAGGGUUAUCCCCCACACUGGUACUGAGACACGGACCAGACUCCUACGGGAGCAGCAGUAAG